UACGAAGGGGGCUAGCGUUACUCGGAUUGACUGGGCGUAAAGGGCGCGUAGGCGGAUGGUACAGUCAGACGUGAAAUUCCUGGGCUCAACCUGGGGGCUGCGUUUGAUACGUGCUGUCUGGAGUUCGGAAGAGGGUCGUGGAAUUCCCAGUGUAGAGGUGAAAUUCGUAGAUAUUGGGAAGAACACCGGUGGCGAAGGCGGCGACCUGGUCCGAUACUGACGCUGAGGCGCGAAAACCAGGGGAGCAAACGGG
rnacentral:rRNA from 1 species